CGACAAGGGUUCCAGUCAAUUCAAAUCGGUUUUAACUACACAAUACCGACCAAAUCGCCAGCGAAAUGUUAUUGUUUUCAGUGAUUGCAGUCUGUCUGACUUUGCUCGAUCUGAUUUCUACCAGGUCCGCUAACAACUCAGCCGAUUGUGAACUCGAGGAAAUUUUUUAUCCGUGCGGUAACUGUUAUGAGGACUUUUGCGGAAGAAAAUAUGCUACCUGCUACAUGUGCAAUCCAGGGUGCUUUUGUCAACAGGGAUACGUCCGAAGAGAGGAGAAUGGACAAUGUAUUAAAAUUGAGGAAUGCCGACUGACUUAAUUUGUAUCUAUGCAAUAGAAGAAUUCUAAAUAUAGAUUGAAGACAUUGUCUCCAUUUGAGUUUGAGUUGACAAUACAGCAUUUAUUGGAUGUUUUAUAAAAUGGGUUCCUUCCAAGUAGCAUUCCUAGUUUUAUAGCACACUACAAGUGCAUUCUAAGUUUUA